rnacentral:rRNA from 1 species
GACGUAGGGGGCGAGCGUUGUCCGGAUUCACUGGGCGUAAAGGGCGCGUAGGCGGUUACGAAAGUCCGAUGUGAAAAGUCACGGCUCAACUGUGAUCGUGCAUCGGAUACUUCGUUGACUUGAGGUCGGUAGAGGCAAGUGGAACUAGCGGUGUAGCGGUGAAAUGCGCAGAUAUCGCUAGGAACGCCGGUGGCGAAGGCGACUUGCUGGGCCGUACCUGACGCUGAUGCGCGAAAGCUAGGGGAGCGAACCGG